CGUAGGGCGCGGGCGUUGUCCGGAUUUAUUGGGCGUAAAGAGCUCGUAGGCGGCUUGUUACGUCGACUGUGAAAACCCGCGGCUCAACCGUGUGGUCUGCAGUCGAUACGGGCAGGCUAGAGUUCGGUAGGGGAGACUGGAAUUCCUGGUGUAGCGGUGAAAUGCGCAGAUAUCAGGAGGAACACCGGUGGCGAAGGCGGGUCUCUGGGCCGAUACUGACGCUGAGGAGCGAAAGCGUGGGGAGCGAACAGGAUUAGAUACCCUGGUAGUCCACGCUGUAAACGUUGGGCGCUAGGUGUGGGGGGCCUCUCCGGUUCUCUGUGCCGCAGCUAACGCAUUAAGCGCCCCGCCUGGGGAGUACGGCCGCAAGGCUA
rnacentral:rRNA from 1 species